ACCUACGGGGCGCAGCAGUAGGGAAUCUUCCACAAUGGGCGAAAGCCUGAUGGAGCAACGCCGCGUGGGUGAAGAAGGCCUUCGGAUCGUAAAACCCUGUUGUUAGAGAAGAAAGUGCGUGAGAGUAACUGUUCACGUUUCGACGGUAUCUAACCAGGAAGCCACGGCUAACUACGUGCCAGCAGCCGCGGUAAUACGUAGGUGGCAAGCGUUAUCCGGAUUUAUUGGGCGUAAAGGGAAAGCAGGCGGUCUUUUAAGUCUGAUGUGAAAGCCUUCGGCUUAACCGGAGUAGUGCAUUGGAAACU
rnacentral:rRNA from 1 species